UUGGAGGGCAAGUCUGGUGCCAGCAGCCGCGGUAAUUCCAGCUCCAAUAGCGUAUAUUAAAGUUGUUGCAGUUAAAAAGCUCGUAGUUGAAUUUCGGGGUCAGCAGGUUGGUCGUGCCAAUGGUAUGCACUGGCCUUGGUGAUUCCUCCCUCUUGUAGAACCGUAAUGCCAUUAAGUUGGUGUUGCGGGGAAACAGGACUGUUACUUUGAAAAAAUUAGAGUGUUUAAAGCAGGCUAACGCCUGAAUACACUAGCAUGGAAUAAUGAAAUAGGACGAUCGAUCCUAUUUUGUUGGUUUCUAGGAUUGACGUAAUGAUUAAUAGGGAUAGUUGGGGGCAUUAGUAUUCAAUUGUCAGGUGAAAUUCUUGGAUUUAUUGAAGACUAACUACUGCGAAAGCAUUUGCCAAGGAUGUUUUCAUUAAUCAAGAACGAAAGUUAGGGGAUCGAAGACGAUCAGAUACCGUCGUAGUCUUAACCAUAAACUAUGCCGACUAGGGAUCGGAUGAUGUUAAUUUUUUAAUGACUCAUUCGGCGCCUUACGGGAAAC
rnacentral:rRNA from 1 species